UACAGGGGGUGCAAACGUUGCUCGGAAUCAUUGGGCGUAAAGCGUACGUAGGCGGCCCAGCAAGUCGGGUGUGAAAGCCCUCGGCUUAACCGAGGAAGUGCAUUCGAAACUACUGGGCUUGAAUACUGGAGAGGAUCGCGGAAUUCCCGGUGUAGAGGUGAAAUUCGUAGAUAUCGGGAGGAACACCAGUGGCGAAGGCGGCGAUCUGGACAGAUAUUGACGCUGAUGUACGAAAGCGUGGGGAGCAAACAGG
rnacentral:rRNA from 1 species